AAAAAAAAAAACAAAAAAGCUGUUUAAAUUACGACAAGAAGCAAUUUUGCACCUAAUUCAUUACUGUUCAAUUGCGAGAGAGUAACCUAGACUUUCAGGUUCCUUCUUGGGAUACAAUACAUUUUCGACUGAACCCAAAUAGUUUUCUUUGUAAGAGGUCUAAAACAUGGACAAGAAGCCUCGAGUCUUCAAGUCCUAUUUAAAACAGUUCCUCCAAAAAGAGAGGAAUUAUUCAUUUGUAGCUGUGCCAGUGAAAUUAUUCACGGAAGUCAUCCAUUGUGAUUUGAAAUUGCUAACAAAACACAAAGCUUAUCGAAAAUUUUCCACUUAUUUGAAACAUAAUUUACAAUUGACUGUUCCCAUGUAAUUCUUAUAACAAAACCCAACAUAAAUUACACUAUUCCAAGAAAUCAAAAUUGGGCAUUCAAGGUUAUCUAUAAUCUGAACUUGUACUCACCUAAUUACCUAGAAUGGGAUUCCUACCUUCGUCAAUUUCAAUGAGGAGGACAUUCUCUGGAUCUGAACCGCUUGGUCCCUCGGCAUAAAGGGUGGGAAGGUAAGCCUUGUAUGCUGGCAGGUAACGAGAAACAAAAUCUUUAACCUCCUCGUCAGUCAUCCCAGGUUUGCCGGCCUCCCUCAUGGCAAUCUCUGCCUACAAAACCCACAACUUUGGUCACAGACUAAGCUUUGGAUAGGAUUUGAUUGUUACUCUAAAGUAUAUAUGAUAUCAACCUGUAAACGCCACUGGUAGACACAACUGGGAUCCUGAAUCUUGAUGACUAUCCAUGCAUUUAUAAACUUGUCCCAUGCAUCAUAAUAGGCUUCAAGAUUCUUAUUCACAGUCUCCAGCUGUGGAUCCACAGCUUGGACGACUUCUGUUGGAAGGGGUCUAAAACCAAGCAUCCAGCCUUCAAACAGAACCACCUAAAGAUCAUAAAAAGGCACAUAUAAAUUUAUUAAUACAGGGGAAAUGAAUAUUUACUAAAUAUUCUGUGUGAUAUAAAAGUAAAGCCAGAUAUAAUCACAUUGAUAUUGGAUCCAGCUUACAGAUCCAAUUUUUCAUAUCUAAACCUACAUGAUACUAUUAUUUUGGACUGCAUAAGUACUUCCAAGUUCUAACAUUAUGGUGAUGCUAAUAAACAUCUAACAGAACCAGGAUGCUGUAUAUGCUAUCGCCUUUGUUUAGAACAGCAAAAACUCAUGCUGACCUAAACUGAAUGUGCCUAGUUUUGCCAGCUACAAAUGCAAGUUUUUCUUACUGUUAAUGGACCUUCAACCUCUGACCACACUGAUGGAUCAGCUCUGUCACCUCUCCCACUGUAUGCAGAUUUAUCAUAUCGAGGUAACUUCAUCUUCAAACCUGAAAACUUGAGAUGAAAAUAAAGUCAAAAUAAGACAAGCACAAAAAGAAUGGAAGAUAAUUGAAAAAAUUCUUACCUUCUUUUGUCAAUUUUUUUAGAGCUGUCAGGGUUUCAAUGGAGAAUGAAAGAUCAUGGCUCCCAGCAUUUCCGCGGAACUGGAACACAAGAAAAUUGUAAAGUAAAUGAAAAAAAAAAUUUAUUCUUUUUUCCCCUUAGUUUUCUGCUGCAUUAUAAAUAUCUUGUUAACGUCUUUUGUUUAUCAAAUAUUAAAGCAUGUGCUGAUUGCCACCUCUAAAAGCGCAUUUGCUGGAUUUGCUUCUCUCAGUUUAGCCUGGCCCUCUGCUGUCAAAUAAAAAUCAUCUAUUGAUAAUGUUGCAGACUUCCUGAGAGGAGAAGACAUGUAUAACACUUUUUAACGGUUCACAACCAACAAUUGAAAAAUUACUCAUGGACACAGUAUUAAUUCAUAGCAUUCACCUGCCAGUUUUUUUGAAGAGAUAAUCAAGAGCAAAGACAAGAGUGGUCUUUCCACAACCUUGGGGUGCACUAAAACCGAUCUAAAGUAAGCCAGAUAUCAGCAUCAUAAGGUUAAAAGUACAGGAUGAAAUAGCAUUUGUGCAUAGUGGCAUAAUUCAACAUAGAGAACUAAAACGGGGACUUGUGUUAGAAUAGAGAGUCACUAAAGAAAAAGUACAUAUUUACCACUAAAGGAGGUAUAUCUUCUCCAUCUUUAAACUGGGACAUAUGCUUGGAAAUCUUAUCUUCACACCAUAAAAACACUGGUAUAUAAUAGUGAUAAAACCUUGCUUUUUGAGGCUCUGUAAGGUACAAUUCAUUGAGCUGAAACAGUCGGCACAAGUGAAAACCAUAUGCUAACCACUUGUCAAUGGAGUCAGCAAUCUUUUCAGAGGUCAAGCCCAACUUGCUUAUGAGAGGACCUGAGCAAAUAAAUUCGUAGAGAUCUUGCACAGAAGAAACUUGUGCAGGUGUUGAGGGAAACACUGAAUGUAACCGGUCCUGCAUCCUUGUUUUGCAAGUUGAGUUUUGGUUCUUGGAAUUGUCUUGGAACCAUAAAUGUUCACUGCCUGGUUUUGAGGAAUGGGUAGGCAUUUCAGAGAGCUUAGAAGAUGGGUAAUUUGAAAUGAAUUUGGAUUUGGGUUGUGUAGAGAAACAAGGAAGAACACGGAAACGAUGAGAAUAAGGCAAAGACUUUAAUUUAAAACUGUGAUUAUUAUUAUUAAUAUUAAAAAUAUGAUCAUUAAAAUAAUAAGAAUUAUGAGAUAAGUAUUUGGGUGGCAAUUGUGAUAAGAUACUGAGAGCCGCCAUUCUC
rnacentral:misc_RNA from 1 species